UGUUACCUUUGCUACCUUGCGCGCGCCAUGUUGUUUCUCACCUCCAAGGCCUGAUUGCCGUCCCUGUCAGCAGACUAUGGACUGAAACCUCUACAAAUGCAUGAGGAACUUCACUGAGUGCUGACACUAUGCUCUUGGACUGGCAGCCUCUGGAACUGCAUAGGAAAGAUACUUCUGGAAUGAAGGAUUUUUUUUCUGAGAAAGAUCAGCCCUGCUUCAGAGGAAAAGUUUGUUUGCAGAUUCAAUGUGAACUUCCUCUACCACACCCAUACUAAGUGGCUCAAGUGUACAGAGUUUGUCCUGGGAAAAUGUAUAGAUGCCAGCUGCAGUUUUACCUUUGGAAAGAAUGCCAAAUCGGUAAUCACAACAAAGCCUCUCCAAACAAACCAUGGUUUACUCAUCAUCUAUAUAAGGCAAAGGAAAAAGAAAAAGGUAAAAUUAUGAACUGGACCUCAGGACUACUGGAUUUUGCUCCAUACUUGUUCGCUAGACAGCUGUAUGGCUUUAGCAGCUUCGAAGGCGAGGAUUGUGCUAAAACUUCAGCCAUUACAGAACUGGAUUAUGGACACACAUGACCUAUUCAAGUAAUUCCCAAACCCAGCUGCUGAUCAGUAUCACUAGGGAGCUCCUAGUGAUACUCCAUGUACCCGCAGAAAUUGAUUCAAUGUCUGUGGC
rnacentral:lncRNA from 1 species